UUUUUCUUUUUCUUUUUUUUUUUUUUUUAGCAGCCGGGCUCUCCUGUUCUCCGUGGAAGGGGGAAUUUAUUUCAUUACGGGGAGUUCUGGAGGGGGUGGUAGGCCAAGCUGGAGUGGGCUUUAAGGCUCUUUCCAGCUGUUCAAAGGCAGGAACUUGGGGCUUCUUUGGAAUCUAUAUCUGAGCUAAACAAGAUGGCGCACAGAGAAGAGAGUGGUUCCUGGGCUCAGAGCUUCCUGCUCACGGUUCCGUGAAAUCACCCCUCGGAGGGUGAACUCAGUCGCCUCGGUGCUGCGUAGAGGCCUCGUCUCUGGCUGGCUGGCUGUGAGGCCUCGUCUGCACCCUCCCGUUUCUGAACCUCGGCUGCCUGAUCAACACAAGGCUCCAUCUCACAAACCGUGAGAUCAUGACCUAAGCCGAAAUCAAGAGUUGGAAGCUUAACCGACUGACCCACCCAGGUGCCCCGGGAAGGGCAUUUUAAAGCCUUCAGUAGAGCAAGAAAGUGGGACCGGAUGAACUCUGAGGACCACGCGAGACCCAUGAUGACCACAAAGGUCUGUAGCGAGGCGGCCCCGAAAGCAAGGUCUCCCUGCUCCCCUUGUUGUACCGCAGGCGAAAGGGGAAAUUGGAAGGCAAGCCCUGUGAUGGUGAGGACUUGAAAAUUGCUUCUAAUUUCCAAGUGUGUGGCAGAGAGAGAGACAGCCUGCCAAGGACACGGCCUAAGUCACCCUCCUUGUAAUGAGAGAAGAGGAGGAAGAGCAGUGAUUAAAUGUGCUUGAUAAAACUUCUCUAUUUCGUGUUUGGAAUAAAAAAGGGAAGGUUGAGAUAAAGCAGUGCUUGUUUGGUGUCCUUCAUGACACGGCUGAGCCGGGCAGGGCCAGUGUCUCUAAUCCUCCCCUGGUGAGCACAGGGGUGGGGCAGCUGGCACCCAGCUGGGCACCCACCCAGUGGGACAGAGAUGGGAAGGGCCUUUGCCACCAGUGGGAGGGUGGCAGUGGUGUCACAGAGGAGAAGCCAGAGCCAAGACGUGAGGGCAGAGCGGGAGGUCUAUCAGGUGGGGAGGCCGUUCCAGGCAAUGAACGGCGUGUGCAGGGUGUGGGGCCCCCUGGCUGGAGCUCCAUGCUGAGUAGGGGGGAACGUUCUGCCUCAGUUCUCCUCGGCCGGAUCCCGCCUCCAGAAGGCCGAGUCCCACCCUGUGCUCAGCACAGCGCUGGCCACUGCGGGGGAAACAGCAGACUGCUUGUUGUCCUGCUGGUGUGUCUUCCCCUGGGGGCCUGUUGACGCCCUGUGUGUGUCUGUCCGGGUGGCACGUGACAUCUUCUGGAGGUGAGUGGGCUGCGGCCCUGUCUCGUUCUCACACUCUGCUUGUCCGAUGAACUGGAAGGGCGGGGAGGGAGGGCAACCCCUCACUAGGCCACUGUCCUAGCCCAUCACCUUUUCUAUCUCAGAACAGGGCAGGCAGACGCAGAGGAACAGGUCUAGGGAGGCGAGGGCAAGGAUUGGGCCCCAAGCGCGGAGCCCAGAGUAUCCCUGGGUCCUGUCCCCAGCUGAGCUGGCUGAGGCCUCCCGCGGCCUCGUUGGCCACCCAGCUUCUCUGCCUGAGGAGGCCUGGUGAGGACUUCACUUGUGUCCUUACCACGAUCAUCCUCUGCUGACCCUGGCAGAGGCCGUGCCAGGCCCCUGGUGCCCCGCCCUGGCACUUACCCCAAGGGCCUGCCUUCCCAGUGCUCGGGGCCCAGGAGAGAGAAGGGACCCAGAGGGAGAGUCAACUAAUGCAUGUUUGGAUACAACCCGAAGCUGGCUGCGAAUCACAUACACACUCA